CAGUAAAACACCCGUUCUCGUGCGAGCACCGAAGUUAAGCAACAUCGAGCAUGGUCAGUACUUAGAUGGUGAUCGCUUGGAUGUGCGGGUGGUGUA